rnacentral:rRNA from 1 species
ACGGGUGAGUAACACGUGGACAAUCUGCCUCCCGGCCCCGGGAUAGCCCAGGGAAACCUGGAUUAAUACCGGAUGAGACGGGACCCGCGAAGGCGGGACCCGGGAAAGGCGCUGCGGCGCCGCCGGGGGAUGAGUCUGCGUCCCAUUAGCUAGACGGCGGGGUAACGGCCCACCGUGGCGACGAUGGGUAGCCGGCCUGAGAGGGUGGACGGCCACAUUGGAACUGAGACACGGUCCAGACUCCUACGGGAGGCAGCAGCUAAGAAUCUUCCGCAAUGGGCGAAAGCCUGACGGAGCGAACCGCCGCGUGAACGAAGAAGGCCGUGAGGUUGUAAAGUUCUUUCGGGAGGGGGAACAACCGUGGCAGGGAAUGGCCGGCGGGAUGACGUGAACUCCCGGAAUAAGCCCCGGCUAACUACGUGCCAGCAGCCGC